rnacentral:lncRNA from 1 species
GGGGUGGAGGACGGCUGUGUUUGCAGACUAAGAAUCUGAGGCGCAGAGGCUGCCCUGGUUCAUUCAGGCCAUACGCUUCGCUAGGCCAGAAGGACCCCAGGGAAGCUGGGGAGCCAGUCUCGUGGGCAGUUGUCAGAUGAAUUCUGUAGGGGAUCGAUGGUCCUAGGCGGCUAAGGGGUGAGUGCAGGUGCAUGGUGCAUUCUGGAACCUGCAAGCUCAGACCCCAACAGGACAGAGGGCAGGGCUCCAGGGGAGGUGGGAGGGAUGCAUGGGCACCAGGGAGCCCCCGGGAGUGUUCAGUCAGGUGGGAAAGAGUGAUGCCAGGUGAGAUGCUGGGCAGAGGAUCUGGCAGACAGAAGGAAGGAUGGGCCUCUGACCAUCUGGCAGGGGCGUCUGGGGGGCCAGGCAAGGAGCGGUCAGUCUCAGGCGUGCAGCUGCGGCAGCCAUGUGGAACCUGCUGAAUGUGGUGGUCAGCAGGAAGAGAGGUUUGGGUUGAGAAGACUUUAGGAAAGUCCCCUGAGGAGUCCCACGUUCCUAGGUUCCCUCAGCAGAGUGGCAGGUGCCUAGGAAGGGGAGGA